UACGUAGGGUGCAAGCGUUGUCCGGAAUUAUUGGGCGUAGAGAGCUCGUAGGCGGUCUGUCGCGUCUGCUGUGAAAACUCAGGGCUUAACCCUGAGCUUGCAGUGGGUACGGGCAGACUAGAGUGCGGUAGGGGAGACUGGAAUUCCUGGUGUAGCGGUGAAAUGCGCAGAUAUCAGGAGGAACACCGGUGGCGAAGGCGGGUCUCUGGGCCGUAACUGACGCUGAGGAGCGAAAGCAUGGGGAGCGAACAGG
rnacentral:rRNA from 1 species